UCCUUCCGCCGGCGCCCAUCGUGAAGACCACAGUUUCCUGUCGCGUGGUUGUGUUUCCUCUCCGGCCAGUGCCAUCCGCCCAAAUCUACAGACAUCCCGCGUGUUCCCGGGCUGUCCGCUCGUCUCCCCUAUACAGGGCGCCAAGGCUGUAGACUGCGCAGCCCUUCUAGAGACAGACGGAAGCUCCGUGGGUUGACAGAUUACACCUUCUGGAGCCCCCUGUUCCCUUCAACUCCGUGAUGGGCAUCCACUGUCCAGGGAGAGGAUGCCUGGGUAAGUGCUGCUAUUCUGGAGCAACUUGAAGCCCGGGUGCCUCUAAUUUGGCCCUCCCAUGGGCACCAGCAGAGG
rnacentral:lncRNA from 1 species